GAGACUGGGAUAACACCUGGAAACAGAUGCUAAUACCGGAUAACAACACUAGACGCAUGUCUAGAGUUUAAAAGAUGGUUCUGCUAUCACUCUUGGAUGGACCUGCGGUGCACUAGCUAGUUGGUAAGGUAACGGCUUACCAAGGCAAUGAUGCAUAGCCGAGUUGAGAGACUGAUCGGCCACAUUGGGACUGAGACACGGCCCAAACUCCUACGGGAGGCAGCAGUAGGGAAUCUUCCACAAUGGACGCAAGUCUGAUGGAGCAACGCCGCGUGAGUGAAGAAGGGUUUCGGCUCGUAAAGCUCUGUUGGUAGUGAAGAAAGAUAGAGGUAGUAACUGGCCUUUAUUUGACGGUAAUUACCUAGAAAGUCACGGCUAACUACGUGCCAGCAGCCGCGGUAAUACGUAGGUGGCAAGCGUUGUCCGGAUUUAUUGGGCGUAAAGCGAGUGCAGGCGGUUCAAUAAGUCUGAUGUGAAAGCCUUCGGCUCAACCGGAGAAUUGCAUCAGAAACUGUUGAACUUGAGUGCAGAAGAGGAGAGUGGAACUCCAUGUGUAGCGGUGGAAUGCGUAGAUAUAUGGAAGAACACCAGUGGCGAAGGCGGCUCUCUGGUCUGCAACUGACGCUGAGGCUCGAAAGCAUGGGUAGCGAACAGGAUUAGAUACCCUGGUAGUCCAUGCCGUAAACGAUGAGUACUAAGUGUUGGGAGGUUUCCGCCUCUCAGUGCUGCAG
rnacentral:rRNA from 1 species